UCGAGGAUCUUCGGCAAUGGGCGCAAGCCUGACCGAGCGACGCCGCGUGGGCGAUGAAGGCCUUCGGGUUGUAAAGCCCUGUCGAGGGGGAGAAAAGCUCCGCAAGGAGCUUGAUCUAUCCCUGGAGGAAGCACGGGCUAAGUUCGUGCCAGCAGCCGCGGUAAGACGAACCGUGCGAACGUUAUUCGGAAUCACUGGGCUUAAAGGGUGCGUAGGCUGGUUGCCAAGUCUGUGGUGAAAUCCUCCGGCUUAACCGGAGAACGGCCGUGGAUACUGGCGACCUCGAGUGGGGUAGGGGCUUGCGGAACUGUGCGUGGAGCGGUGAAAUGCGUUGAUAUGCACAGGAACUCCGGUGGCGAAGGCGGCGAGCUGGACCCUAACUGACGCUGAGGCACGAAAGCCAGGGGAGCGAACGG
rnacentral:rRNA from 1 species